GCCUUCUGAAAGGAAGAUUACUCCACGAUGGGAUCAUGAGUUCACAUGUCCGCAUGAUUAAAGGUAUUUUCCGGUAGACGAUGGGGAUGCGUUCCAUUAGAUAGUAGGCGGGGUAACGGCCCACCUAGUCAACGAUGGAUAGGGGUUCUGAGAGGAAGGUCCCCCACAUUGGAACUGAGACACGGUCCAAACUCCUACGGGAGGCAGCAGUGAGGAAUAUUGGUCAAUGGGCGAUAGCCUGAACCAGCCAAGUAGCGUGAAGGAUGACUGCCCUAUGGGUUGUAAACUUCUUUUAUAAAGGAAUAAAGUCGGGUAUGCAUACCCGUUUGCAUGUACUUUAUGAAUAAGGAUCGGCUAACUCCGUGCCAGCAGCCGCGGUAAUACGGAGGAUCCGAACGUUAUCCGGAUUUAUUGGGUUUAAAGGGAGCGUAGAUGGAUGUUUAAGUCAGUUGUGAAAGUUUGCGGCUCAACCGUAAAAUUGCAGUUGAUACUGGAUGUCUUGAGUGCAGUUGAGGCAGGCGGAAUUCGUGGUGUAGCGGUGAAAUGCUUAGAUAUCACGAAGAACUCCG
rnacentral:rRNA from 1 species